rnacentral:rRNA from 1 species
GACGAACGCUGGCGGCGUGCCUAAUACAUGCAAGUCGAACGCUUCUUUCCUCCCGAGUGCUUGCACUCAAUUGGAAAGAGGAGUGGCGGACGGGUGAGUAACACGUGGGUAACCUACCCAUCAGAGGGGGAUAACACUUGGAAACAGGAGCUAAUACCGCAUAACAGUUUAUGCCGCAUGGCAUAAGAGUGAAAGGCGCUUUCGGGGGUCGCUGAUGGAUGGACCCGCGGUGCAUUAGCUAGUUGGUGAGGUAACGGCUCACCAAGGCCACGAUGCAUAGCCGCCCUGAGAGGGUGAUGGGCCACACUGGGACUGAGACACGGCCCAGACUCCUACGGGAGGCAGCAGUAGGGAAUCUUCGGCAAUGGACGAAAGUCUGACCGAGCAACGCCGCGUGAGUGAAGAAGGUUUUCGGAUCGUAAAACUCUGUUGUUAGCGAAGAACAAGGACGUUAGUAACUGAACGUCCCCUGACGGUAUCUAACCAGAAAGCCACGGCUAACUACGUG